rnacentral:rRNA from 1 species
GAUGAACGCUGGCGGCGUGCCUAAUACAUGCAAGUCGAGCGAACGGACGAGAAGCUUGCUUCUCUGAUGUUAGCGGCGGACGGGUGAGUAACACGUGGAUAACCUACCUAUAAGACUGGGAUAACUUCGGGAAACCGGAGCUAAUACCGGAUGAUAUUUUGAACCUCAUGGUUCAAAAGUGAAAGACGGUCUUGCUGUCACUUAUAGAUGGAUCCGCGCUGCAUUAGCUAGUUGGUAAGGUAACGGCUUACCAAGGCAACGAUGCAUAGCCGACCUGAGAGGGUGAUCGGCCACACUGGAACUGAGACCCGGUCCAGACUCCUACGGGAGGCAGCAGUAGGGAAUCGUCCGCAAUGGGCGAAAGCCUGACGGAGCAACGCCGCGUGCGUGAUGAAGGUCUUCGGAUCGUAAAACUCUGUUAUUAGGGAAGAACAUAUGUGUAAGUAACUGUGCACAUCUUGACGGUACCUAAUCAGAAAGCCACGGCUAACUACGUG